AUGCUCCUUUAAAGAGAAAGGGGUUGUUUUGGUUUUCAACCUUUGGGCAACAAUUCAAACCAUGAUCUAUCUUUCCCCAAUCUACAUCUGCCUGCUCUCAGACUCACUCUUGUGGAUAAAAGCAUGGCUAAAAAUAGUAACCCAGAAAAAGCGAUGCAGACAAGAAGUAACACGGCGACAUGGUUCCAGGAUGGCUUGCAACUCACUGUGAAGCUCAGGAGCCAUGGUGGCCUGGAGUUUACAUCACCCCUGCCUUUGGUAUGCUGGCAUGACGAGUAUAAGAAUGACACUUGACUAGCAGGAGAGCUUCUUAAGGGCAGGGGACAAGCGAAGAAAGCUGUGGUUUCCUGUAACAGUCUUUAUCUGUUGCAAAUAGAAGUUUCUUUGAUGAGAAGCGGAGCUAUACUUACCCGUGGAUAUAAAGACACCCAGUACUGAACAAGACCAGACUUGCUCUAUUUGGUAUACAUAAUGAAGAGCCAACUUUCUCAGUUUUCUACUAAACUUAAGAGUUGUAAGCAGAAAAAUAAGAAUUCUAGUGUGUUGACCUAGCAGAGAAGAAUGCCAGAACAUCUGAGCACUUUCCAGCUUUGUUGACUGUGAAUAAAGCCACUAUCAACCUUCUUGUACAGUUGUGAAUGCUUUUUACAGAAAAUGUUUAGCCAUAAGCAUCCAAGAGUGGGAAUCCUAUACACUAUGGAUCUCAUGAAGCCUUGUCUGUUCUUAAACUUCCCAUGUAGCCAAGGUUAUCCUUCUACCCCUGAUCUUCUGGCCUCCACCUAGCAAGCACUGAAAUUUCAGUCAUGUAUCACCACAUCUGGCUUAAAUUUUUCAUUUGAACAUCGUUUCGUGGGUCAUCAGCUUCCUCAGAGGACUAUGGACGUAGCUCAUCUCUGUCCUGUGAGAUCGUUGGUCUUAGCUGAAAUGACUUAAAUGUUGAGAUCUGUCUGAUGCAACUGCUGGGAUCCUGUGUUCAGGCCUCAGUGUCUUUGCUAGGUAGGGUCUUCCACGUACUUUCUUCAUGUAGUUUUCUUGGACUUUCUCACAGCAAAAUGUCUCAGAAUAGUUAAAGUUCUUACCAAUGGCCAAUGUUUUAACUAAUAUUUUAUGUGCUACUCAGUAUAUAUAGAUAUUUUAGUGUAUUCUUUUAAAUAAUUUUGGCUGAAAAUUAAAUAAUCAACAAAAUAUGAGAUACUAAAUCACUCUGCACCAUAUGUGGCUGUUUAAAAAAAUUGACCACCCCUACUAAAUCUGGAGUUGACUGUGUUAAACUAAUAAUAGUUUUGACUGGCCUCAAAAAUCAAUCACAGCAAUUCUUUCACCUCAGCCUCCCAAGUGCUGAGAAGACAAGCAUGUGCCACAAUACAUUGCUUUAUUGUGUUUUAAAAUCAUGCAAAAUAAGAUUGUUAGCCAAGACUCUAAGCAUAGAGCAAACUCAGGUGGCACAGGGAAUGGACGGGCCCAGAACAGAAGUGAGGGAAACACUUGGUGAAGACCCUGGUGAGGCUCAGCUUUGGUAAUUGCUACUAACUAGGAACACGAUAACUGAAUUGGUUAAUUAAUUAGCAAUCUUUUGACAAGUUCAUGUAUUUCUACAUUGAUUGUAAUUGCUCCCAUUGACUCUCUCCUCCAGGUUCCAAUCAAACCAUUCCUCUUGUUAGCUGCACAGCUUCUACUUGUGAUUGGUUAAAAUAAAAUGAAUUAAUAAAAUGCAAAUUCAAAUGUGUUUAAAUUAUUGUUUGACAAACACAAUGAAAGCUCACUUGGACCCUUUUCAAACACCUUUCAACUUCCGCUUUAGGACUUU